UUGAGUUCUCAGAACAGUUUUCUCUGCUUGCAGGAAAGGAAGAAAAGCAGGCCCAAGAUUAUUCUGAGACAACUGGAGGGUGACAAGACUUAAGUAGAGAAGUACUGUGUUUCACAUUUUGAGCCAACCAGAUAAUCUGUGGAUACAUUUUGUAGUCCAUUGUAGAUUCCCAAACAACCAGAUGCCUUUUUUCUUCUUUGGAAUCAGUAGGAUUUAAAUAAUAUGCCUGGAAGACUUCUGAACCACUAGCAUCUUCAAGUUCCUGGCUAAAUUUACAGCCUCUUGUGUUCAGCACCUGGAUUGUGCUCAGGAUGGCAAGAGAACAAAGCAAUCUGCUUGCUGUACUUGGGAUAGAGAAGACCUGCACGAGAAAGCCAGAUAUUCAAGAUGGUGUGAUUUCUAUCACAAGCUCUGAAGUGACUGACACAGGAAUGCCCACUGCCUGAGAGGAGAGAUGCCACCAUUUCCCCAACAACUUAUAGAAGUGUUGUUUUAUGUGGUUUCAACAGAAAAAUCACAGAAGAAUCACUAUAAUUCACAUUUUCAAAAGAGGCACAGCAAGAAAUAAGGUAAGAUUUUCUCCUUACAUUUUCUUUGCCUUUGAAUGAUUAAAAAAAGAAAGUUUUUAAAAUCUAAGUAGCAUUCCAUGUGGGACUUCAAGGGGUUAGUACAGCUGAGCUCUGACAAAACCAGUUCAGCCUUCCUUUAUUUCCCUUCUUCUAAUGUUAGUUGAAUACUAUAUAAAUAUCUUCCUGAACUCUUUAGGAACUCAUCUGAGCAACAUUUAGAAUAAAGACACACACAUCACCUUAAAAACAGGCUUGCAGGCAUAGCGAGUACACAUAUAAAAAACAAACAAAAAUUACUUCAAAUGAAACCAAAGUGCCUAUAGUCAUGCCUGAAAAACAUUGUGGACACUUAAUUAUUUUUUAUUUUAUUUUAAAUGAAGAUAUGAUUAAUAUGCCAUAAAAUUCAUUCCAGACAUUUUCUUCACCCCAAAAAGAAACUUCAUAUCUCCUCCCUAGUCCCAUCAAACCCUAGGAACCACUAGUUUACUCCUUGUCUUUAUGGAUUUUACCUGUUGGUCACAUUUUAUGUAAAGGGAAUAAUACAAUAUGUGUUCUUUGGUGUCUGGCUUCUCUCACUUGAUGUAAUGUUUUCAAGGUUACUCUAUAAUAUAG
rnacentral:lncRNA from 10 species